rnacentral:rRNA from 1 species
ACGGAAGAGGAAGGGACGGCUAACUCUGUGCCAGCAGCCGCGGUAAUACAGAGGUCCCAAGCGUUGUUCGGAUUCACUGGGCGUAAAGGGUGCGUAGGCGGUCGGGUAAGUCUGAUGUGAAAUCUCGGAGCUCAACUCCGAAACUGCAUUGGAUACUAUUCGGCUUGAGGUCUGGAGGGGGGACUGGAAUUCUCGGUGUAGCAGUGAAAUGCGUAGAUAUCGAGAGGAACACCAGUGGCGAAGGCGAGUCCCUGGACAGGUCCUGACGCUGAGGCACGAAAGCUAGGGGAGCAAACAGGAUUAGAUACCCUGGUAGUCCUAGCCGUAAACGGUGCGUAUUUGCUGUAAAAGGAAUCGACCCCUUUUGUGGCGUAGCCAACGCGUUAAAUACGCCGCCUGGGAAGUACGGUCGCAAGAUUAAAACUCAAAGAAAUUGACGGGGGCCUGCACAAGCGGUGGAGUAUGUGGCUUAAUUCGAUGCAACGCGAAGAACCUUACCUGGUCUUGACAUGCAAGUGGUAGAACCAUGAAAGUGGGACGACCCCGCAAGGGGAGCUUGCACAGGUGCUGCAUGGCUGUCGUCAGCUCGUGUCGUGAGAUGUUGGGUUAAGUCCCGCAACGAGCGCAACCCCUGUGUCCUGUUGCCACCCGGCCGAGAGGCUGGAGCACUCUGGACAGACUGCCUCGCUUCAACGAGGAGGAAGGUGGGGAUGACGUCAAGUCAGUAUGGCCCUUACGACCAGGGCUGCACACGUACUACAAUGCCCGGCACAGAGGGAAGCGAGACCGCAAGGUGGAGCAAAUCCCCAAAAACCGGGCCCAGUUCAGAUUGUUGUCUGCAACUCGACAGCAUGGAGCUGGAAUCGCUAGUAAUGGCGCAUCAGCUACGGCGCCGUGAAUACGUUCCCAGGCCUUGUACACACCGCCCGUCACAUCAUGAAAGCCGUUUGUACCCGAAGUCGCCCCUUAAAAGGUGCCGAAGGUAUGGAUGGUGAUUGGGAUGAAGUCGUAACAAGGUAGCCGUA